rnacentral:rRNA from 1 species
UGGGGAUGACGUCAAAUCGUCAUGCCCUUAUGACCUGGGCUACACACGUGCUACAAUGGUUGGUACAACGAGUUGCGAGUCGGUGACGGCGAGCUAAUCUCUUAAAGCCAAUCUCAGUUCGGAUUGUAGGCUGCAACUCGCCUACAUGAAGUCGGAAUCGCUAGUAAUCGCGGAUCAGCACGCCCGUCGGUCCGAAUACGUUCCGGCCUU